rnacentral:lncRNA from 1 species
UUCAUCAGGAUCACAGCUAACUCUGAAGAUUGACAAUAAGUUGCUCCUUUAGCUCAAAGAGCUUUCUUGCAAUUUCUCUUGCAAAGGACAUCUUUGUUUCCCCCUUCAACUUUUGUUGUAUUGCUGAAGGAUGGUCCAUGCCUUUCCCACAUCCUGUGGCACAGCAAGAGUAGCAGAGAAGAGAAGGCUUGAUUGUCAACAUCGCUCAAGAUCUCAUGAAGGGAAAAGGAGGUGAAGGCAUCAGAAACCAUCUUAUCCUCUGGAGGUGAAGAAGGAAGAUCUAUAUCAGGAGUAUUUGCUGUCUUUUCAUUCCAUCCAUGGUGAUGGGUAUUCUGAGUGCACUGGUUGCAAAUAUGAG